UACGUAGGGUGCGAGCGUUAAUCGGAAUUACUGGGCGUAAAGCGUGCGCAGGCGGUCUGCUAAGAGAGAUGUGAAAUCCCCGGGCUUAACCUGGGAACUGCGUUUCUAACUGGCAGGCUUGAGUGUGGCAGAGGGGGGUGGAAUUCCACGUGUAGCAGUGAAAUGCGUAGAGAUGUGGAGGAACACCGAUGGCGAAGGCAGCCCCCUGGGCUAACACUGACGCUCAUGCACGAAAGCGUGGGGAGCAAACAGG
rnacentral:rRNA from 1 species